GAUGAAGAACGUAGCGAAAUGCGAUAAGUAGUGUGAAUUGCAGAAUUCAGUGAAUCAUCGAAUCUUUGAACGCACAUUGCGCCCCUUGGUAUUCCAUGGGGCAUGCCUGUUCGAGCGUCAUUUGUACCUUCAAGCCUUGCUUGGUGUUGGGUGUUUGUCUCGCCUCUGCGCGCAGACUCGCCUCAAAACAAUUGGCAGCCGGCGUAUUGAUUUCGGAGCGCAGUACACCUCGCGCUUUGCACUCAGAACGACGACGUCCAAAAGUACAUUUUUACACUCUUGACCUCGGAUCAGGUAGGGAUACCCGCUGAACUUAAGCAUAUCAAUAAGCGGAGGA
rnacentral:misc_RNA from 1 species